rnacentral:rRNA from 1 species
UACGUAGGUGGCAAGCGUUAUCCGGAAUUAUUGGGCGUAAAGAGGGAGCAGGCGGCAGCAAAGGUCUGUGGUGAAAGACUGAAGCUUAACUUCAGUAAGCCAUAGAAACCGGGCAGCUAGAGUGCAGGAGAGGAUCGUGGAAUUCCAUGUGUAGCGGUGAAAUGCGUAGAUAUAUGGAGGAACACCGGUGGCGAAAGCGGCUCUCUGGCCUGUAACUGACACUGAGGCUCGAAAGCGUGGGGAGCAAACAGG